rnacentral:rRNA from 1 species
CUUUACUGACGCUAAAGCUCGAAGGUGCGGGUAUCGAACAGGAUUAGAUACCCUGGUAGUCCGCACGGUAAACGACGGAUGCCCGCUGUUGGCGAUACAAUGUCAGCGGCCAAGCGAAAGCGUUAAGCAUCCCACCUGGGGAGUACGCCGGCAACGGUGAAACUCAAAGGAAUUGACGGGGGCCCGCACAAGCGGAGGAACAUGUGGUUUAAUUCGAUGAUACGCGAGGAACCUUACCCGGGCUUGAACUGCAGGUGAACGAUCCAGAGAUGGUGAGGUCCUUCGGGACACCUGUGGAGGUGCUGCAUGGUUGUCGUCAGCUCGUGCCGUGAGGUGUCGGCUUAAGUGCCAUAACGAGCGCAACCCUUUUCUCUAGUUGCCAUCAGGUUAAGCUGGGCACUCUGGAGACACUGCCACCGUAAGGUGUGAGGAAGGUGGGGAUGACGUCAAAUCAGCACGGCCCUUACGUCCGGGGCUACACACGUGUUACAAUGGGGAGUACAGCGAGUCGGUCGUAUGCAAAUGCGAUCCAAUCAUGAAAGCUCUCCUCAGUUCGGAUUGGGGUCUGCAACCCGACCCCAUGAAGCUGGAUUCGCUAGUA